ACUACAACCCACACAAGCUAGUACAGUAGUUCAGUCUGUCCACUACAACACACCAGCUGUACAGUAGUUCAGUCUGUCCACAUACACACACACCACAGCUAGUACAGUAGUUCAGUCUGUCCACUACACUACAACACACAGCUAGUACAGUAGUUCAGUCUGUCCACUUCACUACACACAGCUUGUACAGUAGUUCAGUCUGUCCACUACACACAAACACACACAGCUAGUACAGUAGUUCAGUCUGUCCACUACAACACACACAGCAGUAGUACAGUAGUUCAGUCUGUCCACUUCACUACGCACAGCUAGUACCGUAGUGUUCAGUCUGUCCACUACAACACACACAUAGUACAGUAGUUCAGGUCUGUCCACUACACUACAACACACACACAGCUAGUUCAGUAGUUCAGUCUGUCCCACUACAACACACACAGCUAGUACAGUAGUUCAGUCUGUCCCACACACACUACACACUACAACAGCAUCGACAGUUAGUUCAGCGUCUGUCACUUUACACUACACACAGCUAGUACAGUAGUUCAGUCUGUCCACUCCACUACACUACACAGGCUGUACAGUAGUUAAGUCUGUCCACUUAGUUGGUUCAGCCCGGUUGGUCUCCCCGGUUGGUCAGCCCGGUUAGUCUCCCCAUUCGCGUUAGUCUCCCCAGUUGGUCACCCGUCGCUCCCAGUGGUAGCCGGUAGUCUCCCCAGUUGGUCAACCCGGUAGUUCCCCAGUUGGUCGCCCGGUUAGUUCUCCCGGCAGUUGGUUCAGCCCGGUUUGUCUCCCCAGUUGGUCAGCCCGGUUAGUCUCCCCAGUUAGUCAGCCCGGUUAGUCUCCCCAGUUAGUCAGCCCGGUAAGUCUCCCCGGUUAGUCAGCCCGGUAAGGUCUCCCCGGUUAGUCUCCCCGGUUUGUCAGCCUGGUAGUCUCCCCAGUUGGUCAGGCCCGGUUAGUCUCCCCCGUUGGUCAGCCGGUGUAGUCUCCCCAGUUGGUCAGACGUGGUUCUCCCAGUUAGUCAGCCCGGUUUUAGUAUCCCCAGUUAGU
rnacentral:lncRNA from 1 species